UAGGGAAUCUUCGGCAAUGGGGGGAACCCUGACCGAGCAACGCCGCGUGAGUGAAGAAGGUUUUCGGAUCGUAAAGCUCUGUUGUUAAGGAAGAACGAGUGUGAGAAUGGAAAGUUCAUACUGUGACGGUACUUAACCAGACAGGGACGGCUAACUACGUGCCAGCAGCCGCGGUAAUACGUAGGUCCCGAGCGUUGUCCGGAUUUAUUGGUCGUAAAGCGAGCGCAGGCGGUUAGAUAAGUCUGAAGUUAAAGGCAGUGGCUCAACCAUUGUAGGCUUUGGAAACUGUUUAACUUGAGUGCAGAAGGGGAGAGUGGAAUUCCAUGUGUAGCGGUGAAAUGCGUAGAUAUAUGGAGGAACACCGGUGGCGAAAGCGGCUCUCUGGUCUGUAACUGACGCUGAGGCUCGAAAGCGUGGGGAGCGAACAGG
rnacentral:rRNA from 1 species